rnacentral:rRNA from 1 species
AACGAACGCUGGCGGCAUGCCUAACACAUGCAAGUCGAACGAGACCUUCGGGUCUAGUGGCGCACGGGUGCGUAACGCGUGGGAACCUGCCCUUAGGUUCGGAAUAACUCCCCGAAAGGGGUGCUAAUACCGGAUAAUGUCUUCGGACCAAAGAUUUAUCGCCUUUGGAUGGGCCCGCGUUGGAUUAGCUAGUUGGUAGGGUAAAAGCCUACCAAGGCGACGAUCCAUAGCUGGUCUGAGAGGAUGAUCAGCCACACUGGGACUGAGACGCGGCCCAGACUCCUACGGGAGGCAGCAGUGGGGAAUAUAGGACAAUGGGCGAAAGCAUGAUCCAGCAAUGCCGGGUGAGUGAUGAAGGCCUUAGGGUUGUAAAGCUCUUUUACCCGGGAUGAUAAUGACAGUACCGGGAGAAUAAGCUCCGGCUAACUCCGUG